CCCUUAGAUGUCCGGGGCUGCACGCGCGCUACACUGAAGGAAUCAGCGUGCUAAAACCAUUGUCGAAAGGCAUUGGUAAACCCAUUAAAAUCCUACGUGAUUGGGAUCGGGAAUUGCAAUUAUUUCCCUUGAACGAGGAAUUCCCAGUAAGUGUGGGUCAUAAGCUCGCGUUGAUUACGUCCCUGCCCUUUGUACACACCGCCCGUCGCUGCCCGGGACUGAGCCGUUUCGAGAAAAGCGGGGACUGCUGCUGUCGGGGAUUUCGGGCCUUGGCUUCGGUGGAAACCGCUUUAAUCGCAGUGGCUUGAACCGGGCAAAAGUCGUAACA
rnacentral:rRNA from 1 species